CAGGACAGUCCAGGAGUUCAGCCCAAAGGUGCUGCCACCAACCCCACUCAGUCCUGGGUGCAAGGCUGCCAACCACAACAGAAUCAAAAACAGCAUGCCCUCGCCAUCUUGGCCUCUCUUGGGGCCGCAGCCAAUAGGACCCCAGGGAUCUGCCGGAUCGGGGGACUUCCAGAAGCCAAAGGCACUUCAACCUCAGAGACGGUGUCUCACUCGUGACAUUAGCAGUGUGUGGGAGGAGAGCAUCGUGCCUACGGUGGCCGUUCUUGCAGAUGCCGGGAGCAGCAGCUAAACUCACAUCCUUCUAGAGAACUUGGCAAGGUUGCAGGAGCUGACAGCUUGGCUCACCAUCCAUUCCUGCCCUGAUGUCCUUCCCUCUGCAAGUCCCCUGGACUAAAGCCCCUGCGACAGUCAUUAGUAAACGCAGGCUUCCUCCUUUACGUAGAACCUCAGAUUCCAGGACGUGACAGGUCCUGGUGGAACACACGGUCAUGCCAGUCCAGCAGCUGCCACGAGCUGACAGCUGUCCUCAGCCACACUCUUCUGCAUGAUGUUCUGCCUCCCCUCAGGCCCAAAGCAACGGAGUGGGCAGACCAUGGCUGCAACCUCUGGAGCCAUGAGCCUGAAUAAACCCUUCCUUCUCUAAGUCACUCGUGUCAGGCGUU